GACGAACGCUGGCGGCGUGCUUAACACAUGCAAGUCGAACGGAAAGGCCCUUCGGGGUACUCGAGUGGCGAACGGGUGAGUAACACGUGGGUGAUCUGCCCUGCACUUUGGGAUAAGCCUGGGAAACUGGGUCUAAUACCGAAUAUGAUCAUCGGCUUCAUGGUCGGUGGUGGAAAGCUUUUGCGGUGUGGGAUGGGCCCGCGGCCUAGCCGCUUGUUGGUGGGGUAAUGGCCUACCAGGGCGACGACGGGUAGCCGGCCUGAGAGGGUGACCGGCCACCCUGGAACUGAGAUACGGCCCAGACUCCUACGGGAGGCAGCGGUGGGGAAUAUUGCACAAUGGGCGCAAGGCUGAUGCAGCGACGCCGCGUGGGGGGUGACGGCCUUCGGGUUGUAAACCUCUUUCAGCACAGACGAAGCGCAAGUGACGGUAUGUGCAGAAGAAGGACCGGCCAACUACGUGCCAGCAGCCGCAGUAAGAC
rnacentral:rRNA from 1 species